AUGCCAGUGCAGAAAGGGUUACUUUUUGGCUGGGUACCACUGUGCACCUAUCAGUCAAUGCCGGUGCUUCCACAAAGGCAUGUGGCUUAAGGUUGGCGUGAAGGUGAUCACACCAAACUGCAAAGAGGAAUGCAGCUGCCAGCGCCAAGGCCAGGUGGUGUGCACACCACUUCCAUGCGGGCCUGGGCAAGCUUGUGUCUUGAGUAAUGCCAAGUGGACUUGUGUUCGGCAGGAGGGGCAUUGCACCGUCGCCCACGGGCAUAUCUUCACCUCUUACGAUGGGGUAUCAGGAAAGCUUCCUCUGGACGGAGCCUAUGAGAUCUCUGCCCUCAACGAUGCCCAGUCUCAAUCUUGGUUCCGGGUGGUGGCGCAAGUGCACAAGUGCUCCACCUGUCCUACCCCCGUGGUGGUCUCUGUCACUAUCUACUUCCACAAGUUUAUUUUGCUGAUCAAGCAGGAUAACUCAGUUUCGGUAAGAAACAGAAAAUCACCCCUGACAGAAGUCAUGUUCUUCUCACCUUGCUUUUCUGCAUCUUCUACUUUCUUUUUUUUCCAACAGAACAUGAAUGUAAAUAAUUACCCUCCUAAUCAAAUUAAGGGACGUGGUGGCGCUGCGGGCUAAACCGCAGAAGCCUCUGUGCUGCAGGGUCAGAAGACCAAGCAGUCGUAAGAUCGAAUCCACGCGACGGAGUGAGCGCCCGCCGCUUGUCCCAGCUCCCGCCAACCUAGCGGUUCGAAAGCAUGCAAAUGCUAGUAGAUAAAUAGGGACCACCUCGGUGGGAAGGUAACAGCGUUCCGUGUCUAAGUCGCACUGGCCAUGUGACCACAGAAGAGUGUCUUCGGACAAAAACGCUGGCUCUAUGGCUUGGAAACGGGGAUGAGCACCGCCCCCUAGAGUCGGACACGACUGGACAAAAAUUGUCAAGGGGAACCUUUACCUUUUUACCUUUAAUCAAAUUAAAGGAUAAGAAGUGAGAGUAGCAAGAGGAAAUGAAGAACAAUUAUGUAAUUAGCAGAGGUUUUUAGUUGGAUCCAAACCUAGUUGUAGUAACUCUUUAAAAUCAGUGGAACUUAUAUUACCAGUGCAUUUAACAAAUGCUCUCCUAUUUUCUCAUCCAUGAAGGGAAGAGGUGUCUCAGCACAACAAGACACUCUACCAAAAAGAAAACGAUUAACCAAAACAUGUUAGAUUUUUUUGCAUCUGCAACAGA
rnacentral:lncRNA from 1 species